CCGAUACGGGUAUAUUAUUAUACGCUGGCCUAGUGCCCUAGUGCGUAUCAGAUUCAAAUACUUCAACCCUUGCGGCAAACUUGGGUUGGGGGCUUGGCCGUCGAGUUAAUGGCGGAUCCCAUAUUGCCCGUGGGAAACUUUCAAAUAUGUAGGGUGUACCAUUUACCUCAGAAGUAAAAAAAAUAAAGAAUGGUUUUACAUCUACAGAUUUGCAUUGAAUGAUUAUUUU
rnacentral:lncRNA from 1 species